rnacentral:tRNA from 1 species
GGGCGGUUAGCUCAGAGGUAGAGCGGCGGUUUUACACACCGUUGGUCGGGAGUUCGAUCCUCUCACCGCCCACCA